GUCCACGCCGUAAACGAUGGGUGCUAGACGUUGGCGGGCUUGCCCGUCAGUGUCGCAGCUAACGCGUUAAGCACCCCGCCUGGGGAGUACGGCCGCAAGGUUGAACUCAAAGGAAUUGACGGGGGCCCGGCACAAGCGGUGGAGCAUGUGGUUCAAUUCGACGCAACGCGAAGAACCUUACCAGCCCUUGACUUGUGGCUCGCCGGUCCCGGAGACGGGACCUUCGGUUCGGCCGGAGCCAACACAGGUGCUGCAUGGCUGUCGU
rnacentral:rRNA from 1 species